CAAGUACUCCCUCCGUUUGGAAUUGCUUGUCUUGGAAAUAGAUGUAUCUAGAACUAAAAUAUGUCUAGAUAUAUCCAUUUUCGCGACAAGUAAUUCCGAACGGAGGGAAUAGUAU
rfam:Triticum aestivum genome assembly, contig: Triticum_aestivum_CS42_TGACv1_scaffold_131480_2BL